UGAGUCCUUUGUUAUAUCCUACAUGGUUAC
rnacentral:piRNA from 1 species